GGAAUAAGGCUCAAACGGGUGGAAACGUCGGUGUUUUGUAGAAUGAAAAUCAUGUUAAGUUGUUGAUUAUUUUUGUUUUGCUUCAUAACUCGAAAUCAGUGGGCGGCGUAUGCCGCACUAGGGUUCGAAUCCCUAUCUCUCCGCCA
rnacentral:tRNA from 1 species